rnacentral:rRNA from 1 species
UACGUAGGUGGCAAGCGUUGUCCGGAAUUAUUGGGCGUAAAGCGCGCGCAGGUGGUUCCUUAAGUCUGAUGUGAAAGCCCACGGCUCAACCGUGGAGGGUCAUUGGAAACUGGGGAACUUGAGUGCAGGAGAGAAGAGUGGAAUUCCACGUGUAGCGGUGAAAUGCGUAGAGAUGUGGAGGAACACCAGCGGCGAAGGCGGCGCUCUGGGCCGGUACUGACACUGAGGAGCGAAAGCGUGGGUAGCAAACAGG